GUCGAGGGGUAUAGUUCUUCGGAACUAGAGACCGGCGCACGGGUGCGUAACGCGUAUGCAAUCUGCCUUUCACAAAGGGAUAGCCCAGAGAAAUUUGGAUUAAUACCUUAUAGUAUAUUUUUGUGGCAUCACAAGAUUAUUAAAGAUUUAUCGGUGAAAGAUGAGCAUGCGUCCCAUUAGCUAGAUGGUAAGGUAACGGCUUACCAUGGCAACGAUGGGUAGGGGUCCUGAGAGGGAGAUCCCCCACACUGGUACUGAGACACGGACCAGACUCCUACGAGAGGCAGCAGUGAGGAAUAUUGGACAAUGGGCGCAAGCCUGAUCCAGCCAUACCGCGUGCAGGAUGAAGCAUCUAUGGUGUGUAAACUGCUUUUAUACGGGAAGAAGCCCCGCCUCGUGAGGCGGAAUGACGGUACCGUAAGAAUAAGGAUCGGCUAACUCCGUGCCAGCAGCCGCGGUAAUACGGAGGAUCCAAGCGUUAUCCGGAAUCAUUGGGUUUAAAGGGUCCGUAGGCGGCCUUAUAAGUCAGUGGUGAAAUCUCACGGCUCAACCGUGAAAUGGCCAUUGAUACUGUAGGGCUUGAAUUAUCAGGAAGUAACUAGAAUAUGUAGUGUAGCGGUGAAAUGCUUAGAUAUUACAUGGAAUACCGAUUGCGAAGGCAGGUUACUACUGGUGGAUUGACGCUGAUGGACGAAAGCGUGGGUAGCGAACAGGAUUAGAUACCCUGGUAGUCCACGCCGU
rnacentral:rRNA from 1 species